UUUGACCGCCAAAGGCUCAUAAUAAGUUUAUGGAUGACAGAAAAAAACAUGAACAUUAUCAAAUUUAAAAAAAGGAGAGCCUCAAAUAGAAAUAUAUAAGUGCAUGAAUCUUGGUGUAAAAAAAACAUUCCGAAGACUGCAAAUGGCAUAUAAUACUUCUGAAGAAUUUCUAGAAGAGUGGAAUACGGAAUUUGAAAAGAACAGUCUUGGGAACGUCAUUGUGUUGUGCUUGUACAUGUUAUGCGGUAUCACUGGUAAUAGCAUAGUCCUUGUCGUAUAUAAAUACCAAAUGAAAGAUGUUUCUGGUGAAAGGUAUUUCAUUCCGAUCUUGGCCGCAGCAGACGUUUUGCGUGCGUGGUGUGUUCUGUUUUGGACCUUAUUUUUUUGCUAUUGCAUUUGAACUAUACAAAUAGUAUUUAUUGUAAAGUUGCGGUAUUUCUGAUAUGCUGUACUGGAACUACGUCAAUUUUUCUAUUGAUGUGUAUUGCAAUACAAAGGUAAUUGAAAAUAUGCAAAAAUAUUACACUUUCAUUACAACGGAGACGACUAAUGAUUAUCUGUUCAUUUGUAUUUUCCAUUGCAAUGGCUUUACCCCUAUCCUUGACUUAUGAUCAUAUACAAUUUUCCAGCGGAGAAUAUACAAUAGGUAAAAGAUGUGGUAAAAUUGAGUAUGAAUCUCAACUCAAGGGAGCAGCGUAUGGAAUUGCUUUCAGCUCGAUGUCUUUACUAAUUCUUGCGUCCUUUGUUUUUCUAUAUGGACGAAUCGGUUGUACUAUCUACGGUCAUAUGAAACCCUAUCAAUUUAAACGUACCAUCGCACGUUUGUCAAGAAAUUUCCGUUACAGCAGAAGUACAGAUUUUCAAACUAAACAGUCUAGUAUAGAGGCCGAUGUUGUGUUAAAUGAAGAGCAGAAUCAAGCAUUUUCUGAGACCAAACUGAAUCACCUUACAUUAACUGACAAACCGGAACUUUCCUAAUGACAAAACAAGUAUUAAUGAAGGUACCGUAUCUCAAAAUGAAGGAAAGAUUGUCACGGCGAAGGGAAAAACUUCACGUGUAUCUUUUAACUGUAAAAACGAAUGAAAACCCCGCACCCUUUAAACAAGAGAAACAGAAGGGUUAAGAACAAAUUUUCUUUAAUGUUCAUGAUUAUCACAUGCGUUUUCGUUGUCAGUACUGCCCCAGUAUCUACAAUUCUGACGCUUGAAGGAAUUUUCCCUAAAUUUUGGGAGAACUUAUCAAGGAAACAACUUAUCAUUGUGUUAUGGUUAUAUCAUACGUACUUGAUAAAUAAUUUUAUCAACCCAUUGAUAUAUGCAUUCAUGGAUGAUCCGUUUCGUAAUGCUGCC
rnacentral:lncRNA from 1 species